AACGGUAACAGUACUAGCACUAGUAGCUGACGAGUGGCGCACGGGUGCGUAACGCGUAUGCAACCUACCCAUAAUUGGAACAUAACGUUGAGAAAUUAGCGCUAAUAUUCCAUGUGAAUAUGAAGAGGCAUCUUUUUAUAUUUAAAGAUUCAUUGAUUAUGGAUGGGCAUGCGUAUCAUUAGCUAGUUGGCGAGGUAACGGCUCACCAAGGCAACGAUGAUUAGGGGUUCUGAGAGGAUAUCCCCCCACACUGGAACUGAGACACGGUCCAGACUCCUACGGGAGGCAGCAGUAGGGAAUAUUGGGCAAUGGAAGCAAUUCUGACCCAGCCAUGCCGCGUGAAGGAAUACAGCCCUAUGGGUUUUAAACUUCUUUUAUUAUAGAGUAACCGGAGGUACGUGUACCUCCCUGCAAGUAUAUGAUGAAUAAGGAUCGGCUAACUCCGUGCCAGCAGCCGCGGUAAUACGGAGGAUCCAAGCGUUAUCCGGAUUUAUUGGGUUUAAAGGGUGCGCAGGCGGACCAAUAAGUCAGGGGUGACAAAUUUCAGCUUAACUGGAAUCGUGCCUUUGAUACUGUUGGACU
rnacentral:rRNA from 1 species